rnacentral:lncRNA from 1 species
AUGGAAGAAACGGGGAUCGGAAAAGAAAACCGCCCGGACUUUCCCCUUAUUAACUGCCCCCCCCGCCGCAGUCUACCCCUGCCGCCUGCACCGCUUCGAUUUCGAUCGCCCCCAUUCAUUCUCUCACAACCCCCCUCCCGUCAGGUGGGGAGCCGCGUUCACAGCAGGACAGCAACGCGGGGGGGUGAGAAGAAGAAAGUAGUCCUACGCGGGACUCAGCCCCCCUCCCCAAUUCCACGACCGAGCGCAGAAGUCCGGGACGAUCCCCGUCGAGCGAGACGCAAGCCGGAGCAGCCACGCGCGAGCCCCCCGCGAGUCUGGGCAGGGAAAUGCAACAGGUCCCGCUCGCUUGCAAACUCCUGGCGGAGCCGAAGGGAAGCGGAGCAGGGGGCCUGUCUGGCUUCCCCCCCGCCGAGGGAUCUCCCCCAAGAGGCUUUACGGACAGGAAAUAAGAGGGGUCCUGGAUAUGUGCCUCAGAGUCACAUCCUGAGAGAUCAAGAAAAAAACAGGACUUUGGACACCUAUAUAAAGAUGUCAUCUGGGAAGAUUGCUGUUACUUCUAGAGCCACCACUAAAAGGACCAUGUCCUGCAUGUUAAGGAUCAUAGUUUUCUAAGAUUUGGCGGCUUGCUUUCUCAUGUCACAAAUACACCAUAACUAAGGGGAAAACGUCCACUGAUUUUUGUGAUUUGCUCACACAGUUUCAGGUUCCUUUUACUGUCCUUAAAGACUAGAGAUCUGCUUUAUUUUAGGGAACUAAAAAAAUUGGGGGGUGGGUUGUUGGAUUUUCUGCCCUGGCAGCUCACUGGUUCACACAACCAUCCUCCAAGGUAGGAUAAGUGGGUGAUAGAGGAAAGCAGCAUAUUGAAAGGGUCUAGUGGUAUCCAUCCUUACUACCCACAGUAAUCCAUGCUUUGGUAACUUCCAGAUUGGAUUAUUCUAAUGCGCUUUACAUGGGGCUGCCCUUGAAGAUGGUUCAGAAGCUGCAGCUGAUGCAGAAUGCAGCAGCGAGACUGCUGACAGGAAUUGCUGGCCNAUGCAGAUCAUGCCGGUCUUAAAAGAGCUGCACUGGCUGCCGAUUAGCUACNGAGCCCAAUUCAAGGGGUUAACCCUAAAGGAAUGUCUUUUCCCAUAUUGAUCUUCCCAUGCCUUGAGAUCUGCAGGUGAGGUCUCCUAGUUGUACCACCAACUUAAGUAGCUAGAGAGCUGGACACCCAGUCUGGGGCCUUUUCAGUGAUGGCCCCCAGACUAUGGAAAAGUCUCCCAUGCUGAGGUGCAUGAAACCACCUUCACUUUAUAUCUUUAGGAGAGCAGUGAAGAUGCACCUAUUUACCCUGGCCUUUGGCUAAGGAAACAGCUUUCCCUCUCCACUUUCAGGCACUGUUACUGUUUAGUUUUACAUUCUGUUUUUAUUGCUGUGACCCGCCCUGAGACCAAAUAAAUAAAUAUCUCCCCUGCUCUCCUGUGUUACA